rnacentral:rRNA from 1 species
AUUGAACGCUGGCGGAAUGCUUUACACAUGCAAGUCGAACGGCAGCACGGGGGCAACCCUGGUGGCGAGUGGCGAACGGGUGAGUAAUACAUCGGAACGUGCCCAAUCGUGGGGGAUAACGUAGCGAAAGCUACGCUAAUACCGCAUACGAUCUACGGAUGAAAGCGGGGGAUCGCAAGACCUCGCGCGAAUGGAGCGGCCGAUGGCAGAUCAGGUAGUUGGGGGGGUAAAGGCUCACCAAGCCAACGAUCUGUAGCUGGUCUGAGAGGACGACCAGCCACACUGGGACUGAGACACGGCCCAGACUCCUACGGGAGGCAGCAGUGGGGAAGUUUGGACAAUGGGCGCAAGCCUGAUCCAGCCAUUCCGCGUGCAGGAUGAAGGCCUUCGGGUUGUAAACUGCUUUUGUACGGAACGAAACGGCCCUUUCUAAUACAGAGGGCUAAUGACGGUACCGUAAGAAUAAGCACCGGAUAACUACGUGCCAGCCGCCGCCGUAAAAC